rnacentral:rRNA from 1 species
UUGGUUAAGUUAGAAAGGGCGCACGGUGGAUGCCUUGGCACUAGGAGCCGAAGAAGGACGGGACUAACACCGAUAUGCUUUGGGGAGCUGUACGUAAGCGUUGAUCCAGAGAUUUCCGAAUGGGGGAACCCACUAUCUUUAGUCGGAUAGUAUCCUUACGUGAAUACAUAGCGUGAGGAAGGCAGACCCAGGGAACUGAAACAUCUAAGUACCUGGAGGAAGAGAAAGAAAAAUCGAUUUCCUGAGUAGCGGCGAGCGAAACGGAAAGAGCCCAAACCAAGAAGCUUGCUUCUUGGGGUUGUAGGACACUCUAUACGGAGUUACAAAAGAAAGUUAUAAAUGAAGCGGUCUGGAAAGGCCCGCCAAAGACGGUAACAGCCCGGUAGUUGAAAUGGCUUUCCCUCCAGAGUGGAUCCUGAGUACGGCGGAACACGUGAAAUUCCGUCGGAAUCCGGGAGGACCAUCUCCCAAGGCUAAAUACUCCCUAGUGACCGAUAGUGAACCAGUACCGUGAGGGAAAGGUGAAAAGCACCCCGGAAGGGGAGUGAAACAGUUCCUGAAACCGUGUGCCUACAAGUAGUUAGAGCCCGUUAAUGGGUGAUAGCGUGCCUUUUGUAGAAUGAACCGGCGAGUUACGAUUUGUUGCAAGGUUAAGCGGAAAAAGCGGAGCCGUAGCGAAAGCGAGUCUGAAUAGGGCGCAUAAGUAACAGGUCGUAGACCCGAAACCAGGUGAUCUACCCAUGUCCAGGAUGAAGGUAAGGUAAUACUUACUGGAGGUCCGAACCCACGCACGUUGAAAAGUGCGGGGAUGAGGUGUGGGUAGCGGAGAAAUUCCAAUCGAACUUGGAGAUAGCUGGUUCUCUCCGAAAUAGCUUUAGGGCUAGCCUCGAGGUAAAGAGUCAUGGAGGUAGAGCACUGUUUGGACUAGGGGCCCUUCUCGGGUUACCGAAUUCAGAUAAACUCCGAAUGCCAUGUACUUAUACUCGGGAGUCAGACUGCGAGUGAUAAGAUCCGUAGUCGAAAGGGAAACAGCC